rnacentral:rRNA from 1 species
GUCUAUGACCAUACCACACUGAACGCGCCCCAUCUCGUCUGAUCUCUGAAGCUAAGCAGGGUCGGGCCUUGUUAAUACUUGGAUGGGAGUACCUGUAACUUAGUGAGUGCAUAGGAA